rfam:Heterocephalus glaber contig157332, whole genome shotgun sequence.
UGGAAGCUGGUUUCACAUGGUGGCUUAGAUUUUUCGAUCUUUGUAUCUAGCACCAUUUGAAAUCAGUGUUUU